rnacentral:lncRNA from 1 species
AGACUUGGAGGAUGAAUGCAGGGCUUUUAGGCCCAGUUGAACCAACUCAACAUGGAGAGCUCACCCAAAGUGGCUAUCUGUAAACUUUCCAGAGGCUAAAGAGAUGGCCAGAUACUGAAACUCUGCCCAUUGAAAUACUCAAAUCCAUUUUUUUUCUUUUGGGAAGAGACAUACAGUCAGUUAUCAGUGGAAGUAUUAGCAGAUCCAGAUUGUCUACCCUGAGAGCCAGAGGGAACUGUUAGAUUUUCAGUGGCCACAGAUCACUAAAACAUUCAUGUUAUUCUUAAUGGCAAUGAAUGAAAGUCCAGGCUAUGGGGCUGCUGAGGUUAUGUCCUUUCCUGCGUAUCAGCAGGAUUGGUCAAAGACCGUCCUGUAUCAGCUAAGCUAAUCUCAGUUUUAAACUUGCUAGUUUUUACUACAAUGCUUCAUUUGUGUCAUAGUUUAUUACUUUCUGUCUUUGAAUUUUGAAUACUGCAUUUGUUAAUUAGACAUUAUCAACUUUGUAAAUAUAUACUAG